rnacentral:rRNA from 1 species
UACGUAGGGUGCAAGCGUUGUCCGGAAUUAUUGGGCGUAAAGAGCUCGUAGGCGGUUUGUCGCGUCGGCUGUGAAAACCUGAGGCUCAACCUCAGGCCUGCAGUCGAUACGGGCAGACUAGAGUCCGGCAGGGGAGACUGGAAUUCCUGGUGUAGCGGUGAAAUGCGCAGAUAUCAGGAGGAACACCGGUGGCGAAGGCGGGUCUCUGGGACGGUACUGACGCUGAGACGCGAAAGCGUGGGGAGCGAACAGG